ACUUUUAAUUCGUCACAAUAGAUACAUAAAUGUUUAACUAGUUACAUUUAUGCUGGAUUUUUUUUCUUUUCCUUCUUAACUUGUAACGCUCAUGGUAUUCUUAACCAUAGCACCAUACAAGGCACCUAUCAGAUUGCCACCGUACUUCAUAGGAUUCUUCAAUUUGUUAUAUUGUCGCUGGAUAUGUUUUUAUUUUAAG
rnacentral:lncRNA from 1 species